rnacentral:rRNA from 2 species
AAACACAAGCCAAAAAGGGAAAGACCCACCGGAAAGAGAACAGCCAGAAACGCAACAGACAGAAGGCGGGGAAACGGCCAACCAAGACAACGACACAAAACCGGCAAGAGAGGAAGAACAGCCACACCGGAACAGAGACACGGCCCAGACACCAACGGGAGGCAGCAGCGGGGAACACCGCACAACGGACGAAAGACAGACGCAGCAACGCCGCGAGGAGGAAGACACAAAACGGCGCGAAAACACCAAAAAAAAGAGAAGACAACGACGGCAAAAAAAGAAAAAGCACCGGCAAACACCGCGCCAGCAGCCGCGGUAAUACGGGGGGCGCAAGCGAUACUCGGAAUCACUGGGCGUAAAGAGCAUGUAGGCGGAUUGAUAAGUUUGAAGUGAAAUCCUAUAGCUUAACUAUAGAACUGCUUUGAAAACUGUUAAUCUAGAAUGUGGGAGAGGUAGAUGGAAUUUCUGGUGUAGGGGUAAAAUCCGUAGAGAUCAGAAGGAAUACCGAUUGCGAAGGCGAUCUACUGGAACAUUAUUUGACGCUUGAGAUGCGAAAGCGUGGGGAGCAAACAGGAUUAGAUACCCUGGUAGUCCACGCCCUAAACGAUGUACACUAGUUGUUGUGAGACUUGAUCUUGCAGUAAUGCAGUUAACACAUUAAGUGUACCGCCUGGGGAGUACGGUCGCAAGAUUAAAACUCAAAGGAAUAGACGGGGACCCGCACAAGCGGUGGAGCAUGUGGUUUAAUUCGACGAUACACGAAGAACCUUACCUGGACUUGACAUAGUAAGAACUUUCUAGAGAUAGAUUGGUGUCUGCUUGCAGAAACUUAUAUACAGGUGCUGCACGGCUGUCGUCAGCUCGUGUCGUGAGAUGUUGGGUUAAGUCCCGCAACGAGCGCAACCCUCGUGUUUAGUUGCUAACAGUUCGGCUGAGAACUCUAAACAGACUGCCUACGCAAGUAGGAGGAAGGUGAGGACGACGUCAAGUCAUCAUGGCCCUUACGUCCAGGGCUACACACGUGCUACAAUGGGAUAUACAAAGAGCCGCAAUACGGUGACGUGGAGCAAAUCUUAUAAAAUAUCUCCCAGUUCGGAUUGUAGUCUGCAACUCGACUACAUGAAGUUGGAAUCGCUAGUAAUCGUAGAUCAGCUAUGCUACGGUGAAUACGUUCCCGGGUCUUGUACUCACCGCCCGUCACACCAUGGGAGUCGAACUCAUUCGAAGCGGGGAUG